rnacentral:rRNA from 1 species
UACGUAGGGUGCAAGCGUUAAUCGGAAUUACUGGGCGUAAAGCGUGCGCAGGCGGCUAUGCAAGACAGAUGUGAAAUCCCCGGGCUCAACCUGGGAACUGCAUUUGUGACUGCAUGGCUAGAGUACGGUAGAGGGGGAUGGAAUUCCGCGUGUAGCAGUGAAAUGCGUAGAUAUCAGGAGGAACACCGAUGGCGAAGGCAGGUCUCUGGGCUGACACUGACGCUCAUGCACGAAAGCGUGGGGAGCAAACAGG